rnacentral:rRNA from 1 species
AGCGAACGCUGGCGGCAGGCUUAACACAUGCAAGUCGAGCGGACCUUUCGGGGUCAGCGGCGGACGGGUGAGUAACGCGUGGGAACGUGCCUUCCGGUUCGGAAUAACCCUGGGAAACUAGGGCUAAUACCGGAUACGCCCUUAUGGGGAAAGGUUUACUGCCGGAAGAUCGGCCCGCGUCUGAUUAGCUAGUUGGUGGGGUAACGGCCUACCAAGGCGACGAUCGGUAGCUGGUCUGAGAGGAUGAUCAGCCACACUGGGACUGAGACACGGCCCAGACUCCUACGGGAGGCAGCAGUGGGGAAUAUUGGACAAUGGGCGCAAGCCUGAUCCAGCCAUGCCGCGUGAGUGAUGAAGGCCUUAGGGUUGUAAAGCUCUUUUAUCCGGGACGAUAAUGACGGUACCGGAGGAAUAAGCCCCGGCUAACUUCGUG